rnacentral:RNase_P_RNA from 1 species
AGGCCAGGAUAGCGGCUCACGGGUCUAAUGACCUGAGGAAACACCGCCCUCUCGGUGGCAACCAGGCCUUGUAAGAGGCUGGGGUGAGACCUCAGGCAACGGCACAGAAACGAUGGGCCUCCGUUAGAUGUUGAUGAUAUGGUAAGGCCUUCUGGGCAACUAGAAGGCAGCAAUCCAUUGAAAUAUAACGGAGGAUGCUAUGAAACGGCCGAUCCCUGGUGGAGCAAGGCAUGGGGGUUAUGAGGAGCCACGCAAGCCCCUAAUUCCGCCGCAGAGUCAAAUGCCGCAUUAACAAAAGGCGGGUUAUUAUCCUGGCCU